AGAGUUUGAUCCUGGCUCAGAGCGAACGCUGGCGGCGUACUUAACACAUGCAAGUCGAACGGGGAUCUUCGGUGUAGCAAUACAUCGGCGGUCCUAGUGGCGCACGGGUGAGUAACACGUGGGUAACCUGUCCUUGAGUUCGGGAUACCCUUUCGAAAGGAAGGCUAAUACCGGAUACGUUCCUCGGGUUGCGAAAUCUGGGGAGGAAAGGUGGCGAAAGCUACCGCUCUUGGAGGGGCUCGCGGCCUAUCAGCUAGUUGGUGAGGUAACGGCUCACCAAGGCUAUGACGGGUAGCUGGUCUGAGAGGACGACCAGCCACACGGGAACUGAGACACGGUCCCGACUCCUACGGGAGGCAGCAGUGGGGAAUUUUCCGCAAUGGGCGAAAGCCUGACGGAGUGACGCCGCGUGGGGGACGAAGGCCUUCGGGUUGUAAACCCCUGUCAGAGGGAAAGAAGGGUCGCCUGGCUAAUAUCCAGGUGAUCUGACGGUACCUCCAAAGGAAGCCCCGGCCAACUUUUUGCCAGCAGCCGCGGUA
rnacentral:rRNA from 1 species